rnacentral:rRNA from 1 species
GACGAACGCUGGCGGCGUGCCUAAUACAUGCAAGUAGAACGCUGAAGAGAGGAGCUUACUCUUCUUGGAUGAGUUGCGAACGGGUGGGUAACGCGUAGGUAACCUGCCUUGUAGCGGGGGAUAACUAUUGGAAACGAUAGCUAAUACCGCAUAACAAUGGAUGACACAUGUCAUUUAUUUGAAAGGGGCAAUUGCUCCACUACAAGAUGGACCUGCGUUGUAUUAGCUAGUAGGUGAGGUAAUGGCUCACCUAGGCGACGAUACAUAGCCGACCUGAGAGGGUGAUCGGCCACACUGGGACUGAGACACGGCCCAGACGCCUACGGGAGGCAGCAGUAGGGAAUCUUCGGCAAUGGGGGCAACCCUGACCGAGCAACGCCGCGUGAGUGAAGAAGGGUGUCGGAUCGUAAAGCUCUGUUGUAAGUCAAGAACGGGGGUGAGAGUGGAAAGUUCACACUGUGACGGUAGCUUACCAGAAAGGGACGGCUAACUACGUG